UAGCAUAGUGGUUAGAAAAGUCAACAUCCCUCCAGGAAACACACACACACCCCGACGUCACGCAGCUGCCUUCAGCAACAGAUGGAAAACGUCGGAAUUCCGGAUUGCCACAAACACACACACGCACGCGCACAGAGUGAUCCUGCAGCAGCAACUGCUCGGUCUAAACAACCUCCAGGCUGCAUGAACAGAUUUCUUUGGGCCACCUGGGAGCAGAAGAACGAGCCGAACACUUGACAUGAUAUGCAUGCGACAGGCGUGGGCAGUAAUUCCUGCGUGAUUGGCCUGCGAUGGCCGACGAUUUUAAUAAACACACGCGCCGAGGGGGGCACAGGUCAGCGGUAUUUGGAUUCAUCAGCCACACAGGACACUAGAAGCCGUAAUCACUCCGAAGGUGCAACUGUUCCGUCUGAGACAACAGGAGGUGGAAGAAGAGCGACGUGUUGCCUCCCAGCUCUUCGCCGCUGCCUGUCUGUGAUCCGCCAUCAGCCCAGUGUGUGACUGGAGCCCACGCAAACCAGUUUAUAGAGAUACGCAGCGAAUGAGUUCCGUCCCAGUAGGGCUGCGUCUUACAACACGGGGGGGGAACUCCCAGACCUAAUAUCCACAACGCCGAGCGCGUCCUGCAGUAAAGUUGCGGCCAAUCACCGAGUCUUAUUUAAUGCAAUUAAGGAGGAUGUCAAUACUGAGCUGGGAUUGGUCAAGAGGAACAGCGAGAGAGAAUUCUGCCUAUAGAGAAGACGCAUCUUUGAAAUGGCAAGAAGAAAGCGACAAAAGGAUAAAAAAGAAGGGAAGGAUCAGUUGGUGUCUCUCACUUUGACUACGACCGAAAAAGACAAAGACAAAAAAAAGUGAAAGAAGAAAAACUUCAUCACACGGGCGAGUGACAGAAAAUGUGAGACGACGGAGAGGGACAAAGAACGAGGGCCUUUCCUUCCACCUCCUCCGUUUCAUGUCUCUGUCGCUGGAAAACAAAGGUGUACUGUACUAUCCAUGAGACACACACACACACACACACUGACCCCAUAUCUCAUUUGCAAUGCCACCAACCAUGAAGACUCAUUCACUCAUACUCACCGGCACAAUGUGCUGCUUAGGAACAGCAAGUGGGUGAUUCUAUUAUCUCUGUCAUUGUUCUCAGUGUAUUUGAACAUUUUAACAAUAACUUUUCCUUUAAAUGAUCAGUUUUCCCCAUAUUUAUAAUAUAAAGCUGAUGAAUUGAUAAUGAAUCGGGGUUUUUUUAGGCCUUCUUUUCGGAAAGCAUCAUAUUUCAAGUGGUACUUUUUUUUUUAUACGAUUACUUUUGAUAAGCAUACUUUUCAAUUUCAAUCAUGUGUUAGAAUUUUCAAAAUCAGUUCCAGGAUUUCAAAGAAAAGGUUUUCAGAAGCCUUUUAGGGCCCCAAACAAAGGUAAGUUUAAACUGUUCCAUACUUUUACAUGUACUUAUUUGAACGAAUAUCACCCAUGUGUCAAUGAAUAUUAGGAACACAAGGAUAGUGAAAAGGAGAUGAGUUAUAUGAAGGACUGUUACUGAAAAAAAAAAGGAAAUGUAUUCCGUUACACAUUGUGGAAUGUAACUGAGAACUUUUACUCAAGUUUUGCUAUUGUAUUUUCUAUUUCAUGCUACUUUAGUCUUGAACCUCGACUGACAUGCUCAAAACAUAUGAUCAUUUUAUCAACUACAACUCAUUGUUAAAGAUUAAACACGUUAUAUAAACGUCUCGACUCACUACAACCAUUUAUUUAGUAUAAGGUGCAAUAUUUUCAAUGUUUAAUUUAUCCAACAAUUCAAUUAGAUAAGAUUAGACUUUUGAUUCUCUGAAUUGCAUUACUGAUAACAAAGAAUUUGCAUAAAGUAACUGACUAAAUUUCACAGUGAUCAGACCAAAACUUCGUCAACAAUCCAUAAUCAUCUGCUUGAAGGGAACUUUUACUUUGCAUGUACAUUUUAUGUUUUUACAUUACAUUCGACUUCUGUGAUCUGUGGCUCACUCCAAAGUUUUUCUUUGCCAUUGUGGCACGGGGCUUUUUCCACUGCUUGGAUAAUUGUUAUUUCAUGUGUGGCUGACUUGAUAGAAAUUUGCUGUAUUUGGGAGCAAAGAUCAAACAUGAAAUUAUUAUAGGAGGAUUCCAGACCUUUCAUUCAGUAGAAAAAUAAACUAGUAUCAGUUGUUGGUCUGUCAAACAAACAAGAGCUUCUUGAAUUAAUGCACAACUGUACACAAAGGUAUUAUAAGCAGUUGUAGCAGCUACUGUAGCCGCAUCACCGCUGCUUUGCAUAUUUCCGUCACCUCAAAUAUCAUUGUAUUUUGCAUCUUCCGACGCUGAUCAAAAGCGUUUAUUCAGUUCUCACUGGCCUGGUUUCUCCCAGUUUCUUUUUGUUUUGUCAGUCAAGGCGGCUGUUUUCUGCAUAAAUGCACCGUGCAUUAUCCCUGGCUGUGGUUUAGUAGUUGAGGUCAGCGUGUGGUUGUGUGUGGGGGUUGUUUUGACUGGCCACUGUCCUUUUGUACAUUUUUUUUCCUCCAUUUUUUUUUGAUGGUAGGCUGCCAUGCUGGUGUUAUCAGGUCCCACUGGGAAAUGUUUUCUACAUCACUGAGUGUGUGUUCGCAUCUGACUGUGUGUUGCUGUUUGUGUAUGCCAAAAUGUGUGUGUGUGUGUGUGUGUGUGUGUGUGUGUGUGUGUGUGUGUGUGUGCGCGUGCGUGCACCAACAGCACAGUAAUCUGUAGGCGGGUCAUCAUUCUUAAUGCAGCCUGUGUCAUCAGUUCCCGUGACAACAGGGGGAAUGAUGCGGCCGAUACAUAUGAAACAGGGUUCCAUGCAUAAACAUGGGGACGGCAGAAGGAGGAGGGUGAGGGCAGUACGGGGCGAGGUUAUAUGGGGGAUGUGUGUGUGUGUGUGUGUG